AUUGAACGCUGGCGGCAUGCUUUACACAUGCAAGUCGAACGGUAACAGGCCUUCGGGUGCUGACGAUUGGCGAACGGGUGAGUAAUGCAUCGGAACGUACCCAGAGGUGGGGGAUAACGCAGCGAAAGCUGUGCUAAUACCUCAUGUGAUCUGAGGAUGAAAGCGGUGGACCGAGCAUCAAUGUUUGGCCUCGCGCCUUUGGAGCGGCCGAUGUCGGAUUAGCUAGUUGGUGGGGUAAAGGCCUACCAAGGCGACGAUCCGUAGCUGGUCUGAGAGGACGACCAGCCACACUGGGACUGAGACACGGCCCAGACUCCUACGGGAGGCAGCAGUGGGGAAUUUUGGACAAUGGGCGCAAGCCUGAUCCAGCAAUGCCGCGUGCGGGAAGAAGGCCUUCGGGUUGUAAACCGCUUUUGGCAGGAACGAAACGGUGUCCGCUAAUACCGGGCGCUAAUGACGGUACCUGCAGAAUAAGCACCGGCUAACUACGUG
rnacentral:rRNA from 1 species